GAAAAUUGUGGCCAGAGGCAGAUUGUGGUAAAUUACAAAAUUGGCUCAUAAUCCUUUAUUCCUUCUUGCCUCCAUGCUCUUUGCAAUGUGACUUUGCCACUUUUCUCAUUAAGAGAUGGAUUCUGUUCUCCAUUGCCUUCUGUCUGGACUGGUCUUGUAACUUGUUCUGGUUAAUACAGAGGUAAAUGUGAUGACACAUCAGAAGCCCAGGCCUCAAGCAAGCUUUCCCACUUGUUCUCUUGGAACCCUUCCCAGCUAUCAGACACUACUGGCAAAGACAUUGAAAAGAAUCACACUGCUAAACCAGUAGCAGCUUUUAUCUUCUUCUCAGAUUGUAUACAUGCAGGAUAAAAGUGUUUCUAACACAUAGACUUCUAUAUUCCAGCAUAAAGAUGUAUUAGGCGCAUUUAUACUUUUACAUCGAAGCCUGUUUCAACAUGAACGGAGCCCAGGGAAGUUGGUGACUUAAUCCUCGUUAUACCCUGAUUUUGGACAAAUUUUACAAGAAGAAUAGGACUUCUACUUCUCUAUGUCUACAUGCACCUGGAACAGUGCUAGGUCUAUGCUUACAAAUUGAUUGGUUCAGGUCACCGCCAUGAGCCUCAGGACAGAAAAUUGCCGGAUAUGAGAGAGAGAGAGAGAUUUGACUGGGCUAAGAAAGAAAUGAACACGAUUUAGAGAUGGAAAUGGUGACAUAUGGGCCUUUGAAGCCUCCCAUGUUCCAGAGAAGCCCCUGUGAGCUGUGACUGCAAGAGUCAGCACCUAAAUUAGAUCAACACUACAACAUCAAAAAGCCAGCUUGAUGGCACAGCGGGGAGUGAGGAAGACUCGGUGGACAAAUCUGACUGGAAAACAAGUAGGCGUUGCAGAUGGUGAGUUCAGCACUGCCUCUGCUGUAGUGAGCUACGCCCAACCUAGAAAUGCAUCUUGCUGGCAAUGUCUCUCCAAGAGCCUCCCCUUUUGCUGUCAGGAGCACAAGGGGCAUGCAGAGAAGUUGAGAGCUGAGCAUUGCAUGCUACUGAGCAGCUGCACUCAGUGGUGCAGAGGAGGGACAGGAGGCACCCAUAAGGGAGGAAAUGAAUAGGGCUGUUUUACUUGCUAAAAAGACUCACCUUUUGUCUCCUCCUGAGCUGACAUCCUUUUCUUGCUACUCCACCAUUAUAUUCUCUUUAAACAGUCAUUUUUAUUACAGUUAAUAUUAGAGUUGUACUUGCAUUUAUGAGGUCUAAA
rnacentral:lncRNA from 1 species